GGCCUGAUGGUCUAGUAGUAUGAUUCCUUGUUAGGGUUGUAGUUAUCCCGCAUCGAGGAGGUCCCGGGUUCAAUUCCCGGUCAGGCCC